CAAAAUUCCUAAUAUGUAAUGGGUCACACAUAGAUAUUGAAAUAAUAAGCAAUUCUUUCCUGUAGUUCUCUAAUUUUGAUAUUGAAAAGCUUAAAUAGAAAAAGCACUUGCAAUCUUGUUAAAGUUGGUCAAUUACAUUAACUUUUCCAAAAGAUUUUGAUGUAAAUUCAGACUCAUCAUUGGUUGUCAGGAAUAAUAGGCUUGUUUGUCUUAGAUUGUUAACCUGCAUUCAUAAGUUCAAUUGGCCAACUAAUUGCUUACAGUCAUUACAAUUCUUUAUAGUAUAAAUACAAAUACUGUAAAUUUAAAUUUUAGGCUGUUUUGCUUGCAAGGAUAUAUAAAUGGAUUAAAUCUCACAUGCUACAUGUAAAAGAUGAAACUCUGAAUUUGUCUAACACUCCAACAUGUGUCUAUUUAUGGGCUAUAAAUAUAUUUCUUUUUUGCAUUUUUCUUGGUGUUUAAAUUCUUUAGUGACUUUAUACUUUGCUUUACACAGUGCAUAACUUUGGUGGACUA
rnacentral:misc_RNA from 1 species